AGACAGACAAUCGCGCGCCGCGCAUGCGGUGUGAGGAAAGUCCGGGCUCCGCAGGGCGAGGAUGCCGGAUAACGUCCGGCGUAGGUAACUAUAGGGAAAGUGCAACAGAAACAUACCGCCGCUUCAAGCGGUAAGGGUGAAAUCGUGAGGUAAGAGCUCACGGGGGCCCAUGGUAACAUGGGUCUCGUGUAAACCCCAUCCGGAGCAAGACCAAAUGGGCGUACGGCGCAUGCCGGGCAGUUGCCCGCUGCCGCCCGGAGGUAGGUCGCUGGAGCAUGCCGGCAACGGUAUGUCGAGAUAGAUGAUUGUCAGAUACAGAACCCGGCUUACGUCUUG
rnacentral:RNase_P_RNA from 1 species